CUUCUUUUUCACCGGAGCUUGCUCCACCGGAAAAAGAAGAGUGGCGAACGGGUGAGUAACACGUGGGUAACCUGCCCAUCAGAAGGGGAUAACACUUGGAAACAGGUGCUAAUACCGUAUAACAAUCGAAACCGCAUGGUUUUGAUUUGAAAGGCGCUUUCGGGUGUCGCUGAUGGAUGGACCCGCGGUGCAUUAGCUAGUUGGUGAGGUAACGGCUCACCAAGGCCACGAUGCAUAGCCGACCUGAGAGGGUGAUCGGCCACAUUGGGACUGAGACACGGCCCAAACUCCUACGGGAGGCAGCAGUAGGGAAUCUUCGGCAAUGGACGAAAGUCUGACCGAGCAACGCCGCGUGAGUGAAGAAGGUUUUCGGAUCGUAAAACUCUGUUGUUAGAGAAGAACAAGGAUGAGAGUAACUGUUCAUCCCUUGACGGUAUCUAACCAGAAAGCCACGGCUAACUACGUGCCAGCAGCCGCGGUAAUACGUAGGUGGCAAGCGUUGUCCGGAUUUAUUGGGCGUAAAGCGAGCGCAGGCGGUUUCUUAAGUCUGAUGUGAAAGCCCCCGGCUCAACCGGGGAGGGUCAUUGGAAACUGGGAGACUUGAGUGCAGAAGAGGAGAGUGGAAUUCCAUGUGUAGCGGUGAAAUGCGUAGAUAUAUGGAGGAACACCAGUGGCGAAGGCGGCUCUCUGGUCUGUAACUGACGCUGAGGCUCGAAAGCGUGGGGAGCAAACAGGAUUAGAUACCCUGGUAGUCCACGCC
rnacentral:rRNA from 1 species